GGAAUCUUCCACAAUGGGCGCAAGCCUGAUGGAGCAACACCGCGUGAGUGACGAAGGGUUUCGGCUCGUAAAGCUCUGUUGUUAGAGAAGAACGUGCGUGAGAGCAAUUGUUCACGCAGUGACGGUAUCUAACCAGAAAGUCACGGCUAACUACGUGCCAGCAGCCGCGGUAAUACGGAGGAUGCGAGCGUUAUCCGGAUUUAUUGGGUUUAAAGGGUGCGUAGGCGGAGCUUUAAGCGUGAGGUGAAAUGCCCGGGCUCAACCUGGGAACUGCCUCGCGAACUGGAGUUCUGGAAUGCCCCUGCCGUGGGAGGAAUGUGUGGUGUAGCGGUGAAAUGCAUAGAGAUCACACAGAACACCGAUUGCGAAGGCAUCUCACGAAGGGGUGAUUGACGCUGAGGCACGAAAGCGUGGGGAUCAAACA
rnacentral:rRNA from 1 species